rnacentral:rRNA from 1 species
AGUGGCGGACGGGUGAGUAACGCGUGGGCAACCUGCCCUAUGCAGGGGGAUAACAUGGAGAAAUCCAUGCUAAUACCGCAUAAGACCACAGUAUCACAUGAUACAGUGGUAAAAGUUUUAAUGGCAUAGGAUGGGCCCGCGUCGCAUUAGCUAGUUGGUAAGGUAACGGCUUACCAAGGCGACGAUGCGUAGCCGACCUGAGAGGGUGAUCGGCCACAUUGGAACUGAGACACGGUCCAAACUCC